rnacentral:lncRNA from 1 species
UGAUCAGUCAAACAUAAUGUAUUUCCCUGAUAUUUUCCAUUCACAGUUGGUUGAAACCAUAGUGAGAAUCUAUAGAUAAAGAGGAAGCCUAAAGGAAGCUACUGUUACCAAGAUGCAAUAUAGGUUCAUGGCUACAGACACCUCUACCCCGUAGCUAGACUUCCUCUUGUGAAAUUGUUUGCUCCUAGCACCAUUUGUGCACAAAAGAAGAAAGGCAACAAGGCUUGAACUCAUUGAGGUAUGAAAUAG